rnacentral:rRNA from 1 species
AACGAACGCUGGCGGCAUGCCUAACACAUGCAAGUCGAACGAAGUCUUCGGACUUAGUGGCGCACGGGUGCGUAACGCGUGGGAAUCUGCCCUUGGGUACGGAAUAACUCAGAGAAAUUUGUGCUAAUACCGUAUAAUGUCUUCGGACCAAAGAUUUAUCGCCCAAGGAUGAGCCCGCGUAAGAUUAGCUAGUUGGUGGGGUAAAAGCCUACCAAGGCGCCGAUCUUUAGCUGGUCUGAGAGGAUGAUCAGCCACACUGGAACUGAGACACGGCCCAGACUCCUACGGGAGGCAGCAGUGGGGAAUAUUGGACAAUGGGCGAAAGCCUGAUCCAGCAAUGCCGCGUGAGUGAUGAAGGCCCUAGGGUUGUAAAGCUCUUUUACCCGGGAUGAUAAUGACAGUACCGGGAGAAUAAGCUCCGGCUAACUCCGUGCCAGCAGCCGCCGUAACAC